AACGUACGCUGGCGGCACGCCUAACACAUGCAAGUCGAACGAAGUAGCAAUACUUAGUGGCAGACGGGUGAGUAACAUGUAGGUAUCUGCCCUUUGGCCUGGAAUAACACGAGGAAACUUGUGCUAAUACCGGAUAAGUCUUUACGGAGAAAGCUUUAUGCACCAUUGGAUGAGCCUGCACUUGAUUAGUUUGUUGGUGGGGUAAUGGCCUACCAAGACUGUGAUCAAUAGCUGAUUUGAGAGGAUGAUCAGCCACAUUGGGACUGAGACACGGCCCAAACUCCUACGGGAGGCAGCAGUGGGGAAUCUUGCACAAUGGAGGAAACUCUGAUGCAGCGAUGCCGCGUGAGUGAAGAAGGCCCUUGGGUUGUAAAGCUCUUUCGUCGGGGAAGAAAAUGACUGUACCCGAAUAAGAAGGUCCGGCUAACUUCGUGCCAGCAGCCGCGGUAAUACGAAGGGACCUAGCGUAGUUCGGAAUUACUGGGCUUAAAGAGUUCGUAGGUGGUUGAAAAAGUUAGUGGUGAAAUCCCAGAGCUUAACUCUGGAACUGCCAUUAAAACUUUUCAGCUAGAGUAUGAUAGAGGAAAGCAGAAUUUCUAGUGUAGAGGUGAAAUUCGUAGAUAUUAGAAAGAAUACCAAUUGCGAAGGCAGCUUUCUGGAUCAUUACUGACACUGAGGAACGAAAGCAUGGGUAGCGAAGAGGAUUAGAUACCCUCGUAGUCCAUGCCGUAAACGAUGUGUGUUAGACGUUGGAAAUUUAUUUUCAGUGUCGCAGGGAAACCGAUAAACACACCGCCUGGGGAGUACGACCGCAAGGUUAAAACUCAAAUGAAUUGACGGGGACCCGCACAAGUAGUGGAGCAUGUGGUUUAAUUCGAAGAUACGCGCAGAACCUUACCAACACUUGACAUGUUCGUCGCGACUCUAAGAGAUUAGAGUUUUCGGUUCGGCCGGACGAAACACAGGUGCUGCAUGGCUGUCGUCAGCUCGUGUCGUGAGAUGUUGGGUUAAGUCCCGCAACGAGCGCAACCCUCACUUUUAGUUGCCAUCAUUAAGUUGGGCACUCUGAAAGAACUGCCAGUGAUAAGCUGGAGGAAGGUGGGGAUGACGUCAAGUCCUCAUGGCCCUUACGUGUUGGGCUACACACGUGCUACAAUGGUAUCUACAACAGGAAGCAAAACUGCGAAGUUAAGCAAAUCCCUAAAAGAUACCUCAGUUCGGAUUGCACUCUGCAACUCGAGUGCAUGAAGCUGGAAUUACUAGUAAUCGUGGAUCAGCGUGCCACGGUGAAUGCGUUCCCGGGUCU
rnacentral:rRNA from 1 species